UUAAUUAUUCUUGAGGAAAUCUUCUUGCCUAAUUUUGUUGCAAGAAGUCUAAUAAAUAUAAAAAAUGCGAUAAUUGUGAUAAAUUUGUAAAACUUGCAGGUUUUUUUGAGAACAAAGGACAGUUCGUUAACAAACACUGAUAGAAAAUUGGAAAAUUUUUAUGUUUCUUUCAGUGACACUUAUGGUGAUCAAGUGGAAUGAAUUUUAGUGUCCGGAGGGCUUCGAAACAGCACACAAAUUGUCUGGAAGGCUACCUAGAACUUCUAGGGCCUUCUCCAGAGAAGUUAGAAUGGCAGAAUGACUAAGAAAAGCCUCCAAGAGCCCCAAAAUAGAUCCCAAAUAUGGUCUGCAUGCUCUCUUUUCCCGGACAAUUUUUCACACUAAAAAAAAACACAAGAAAAAAAAAAACAGUGAAAAUCACAGAAUUUUGCCACAAAUCUUUUCACUGGCCAAUUCUUUAAUAAUUUUUAAUGAACUUACUACGGAAAUUUGGUUACUUCCGUGCAAAAUUACGUGUAAAACAUCAACACAAAUGUUGCAAAAGAGCACUGUCCGCCAUCUUCUAUUUGACAACUGAACCGUCUUGGUGGAUUUCUUUGAGCAAAGCAAGCACUUUUUCAAGACAUUUUCCCGAGGAUUUUUCACGGACAAUAUAAAAAAUAAAUAGUCACAAAUGCUUCCAAAACUCUACAAUUUUCUAUUCCAAUUCAUAAAUCACCGAUUUUCCACAUCAUUUUCAUAAUUUUCCACGAAUUAUGAAAUAUUGCAAAAGUCGCUGGGAGACCCAUAUUUAGCACAUUUUUACUAUCAAAUCACGCCUUUUAACUAAUUCUGUGUCACUAAACUAAUUCUAAAACCUAUUUUCCAUAUAAAACCAUGAAUUUUUAUUGAAAUUUCGUUAAUUGAACUUGACAAAUUGGCUUUAAAAAGCAAUCUUGGCGACGAUUUUUUCAAAUGCUGGCGACUACCACUACAAAAGCAGAAAAACGACUUUUUCCUUUAGUGGUGGUUCCUCUGUCAUAUCACUUCUCCAUUGCUUCUUUGAAAAUCGAUUAAAAGAGCAAUGGCCCACUCUGUUCAAUGCUAUUUUAUUCAUUUGAUAAUCAUAAUCAAAUUUGAAAAAUGACAACAAACUUUUUUUCAAAUGUAAACUGCUGCCCGAAUUAAAAAGUAGCCCGAUCUUAAAAGAGCCGAAUUAGCGAGAGUCUAAUGUAUCUCAAGAAACAAAUUAGUUAGUCUUAAAAUCUGAAGAGGAGAAGAAGAAUAAAAGAUCUUACUAAGAAGAUAGCGAUAAACAGCGAUUUUACCUAAAAAAUAAAUAGUUUGAUAGUCGAAUCAAUCGUAAAUCGCCAUCGAUCGGAUUUAUUAAAACUUUAUUCGGUAACUUCAACGCUUUAGCACUAUUUUCAUACGAUCGACAUCGAUCUUUGUAAAAGAUCAACUUUGAUAAUUCCAAAAGAUCAAUGUACGACAUCAAUAUCUCUGAAAAAAUAACAAUAGGCCUUAAUCUUCUUAAAUGUCGUCACUGGUAAAGAUAAAAGGAUCAACUUUACAUAUCGAUCUUUACAAAAAAAUAAUUUUAAUAAUUCCGAAAGAUCGAUGAACAUCAAACUAUUCGAACUAUUUCCGAAUAGCAUUCCGGAAAUACUUGGUAAUUUUUCGAAAUAUUACCGAUUUUGACGAAGAUUUUACCGAUAAAUCAAUAGCGCUACGAUUAAGACAACAAUGAACAGUAAAAUUAAAGAACCUUUGGUAUACAAUCGGUAAAUUGAUAGUUGUAGUAAUGUAGUAUAAUUGCAUAUGAAGGAAUGGGAAUUGACAACUAUCUUUGGAAAAGGUGAGCUGAAUUAGCCAUUGGAAUCGAUGUGUAGUAAAAGAUCGGAGUUUGGCAUUGAUGGCGUUGAUAUAUCUGGAAAAAUCAAUAAUUGGCGGCGAUCUUCACGAGAGAUCAGUGAUUGGCAUCAAUUUUAUCGAAAAACCUAAACUUUCUGUUUACAAUGAUUUUAGGCAUCAUCGGUGCUAUCUAAAAAUAAAAAAAAAGAUGGCAAAGUAUCCCAGCUUUGCAAAAUGCCCGAACUUACGAGAUAGUUAUCCGUGAAUUAUCGUUCUGCAGGUUUUUUUUUAGGUCUAUGCAAGUUUAUUAACGAUUAACUUUAAAACAUAUUCGAAAAUCAUUAAAAAAGCUUAGGCCAAUUUUGAGAUAAAGCGAAAAACAUGGUUUUGUAGGGGAUUGAGGGAAAAAGAAAAAAGAUCGCGCGAGAUAAUGUUCACUAUGGGGGAAAGAGGGGGUCAUUGAAUACCGAAAGUUGAUGUCUCUUACCGUUUGACUUCUAACUAGGGAAUAAACUAAAGGGCAAGUAAAACAAAUAAUUUACGAAAAAAUUAUUCAAUUAUUGGCUCUUAACCGAUUCAUUACCGAUGCAGUCGGGUUCAGAAUUUCAAAACCUUUCCAAAAAAAAAAUCCAAAUUUAACCAAAUCGAUUAAAAUAAAUGAGCCCUCCAAAGUGAUUUAAUAAAUGUGAUUUUUGUUAUGACUAUCUUGAGACGGUCACAGCAAAUUUCAAAUUCUUAUACCAAAAGAGGCAUGGCUAAAACAUAUUUUUGGGCGGGGCUUCUCGUGAAAUCAAACCUUACCAUGUAAAAUGAAAUUUAAAAAAAAGAGGUAAUAUUUGAUAAAGAAAUGCCAAUAAUUCACUAAAUUGUUGUAAAGAUUUAAAGAAAAAACAAAAAAAAAUCUCGAAGCUCAUCUCGAACCACCAAGAAAACUAAUAAGAGAAAAAUCAACACAUUGAUAUUCCAAUAAGAGAUAAAUAAAGAAAAAAGAACAAUUGUAUAAGAAAUCCAAUAUUGCUGGUAUUUUAUAGGAAGAGAAAGGAAAAUAAGAUGAAAAUAUUGCUAUAAUAUUUAAAUAAAAAAAAAGUAUAAAUCAAAUAACCUAAAAAACUAUAUACAUAAAAAAUAUUAAAUAUUUGUAGAUUUAAAGUUAAAUACUAAGAGUUUCAGAGAUGGAUUAAAUGUGAAUCAAGAAGGAUGCAAAAUUCGUGAAUAUUCCACAAAUUUUUGGUGAAUAUUGUGCGAAUAUUGUGAAUAUAUUUCUUCCUCUUGGUGUGAAUAUUUUCUUGCAGAAAAAAAACAAACUCCUUGCGUUCUCAAGAGAAGACAGUAAUGAAUGUUUUCUUACCUUGAGAAGACAACAAUUUUAUUCGCCAAAAUGGAACACAAACAAUUUUUCCUAUCCUUUCCCACUUCUGAAAUGUAAGAAGAAUCCACAGAGCAACCAAUAGCCAGAUCUCUAGAGAGAUCGUGAAAAUCCUCUCCGGAAAAAAUAAAUGAAAAUACCGAUGAUAACAUAAACCUGUGUAUUGCGUAUUUUUUGUAAUAAUACAAUUAGUAAUUAUAUAUAAAAUAAAUGUUUUACAGGAUGCCUAUCCCGAUAAGAUA